rnacentral:RNase_P_RNA from 13 species
AAGGGUGAAACGGUGCGGUAAGAGCGCACCGCGGGGGUGGUAACAUCCCCGGCAUGGCAAGCCCCACCGGGAGCAAUGCCAAAUAGGGACCGCACGCGGGGACCGGUCGGGCAACCGAAACCGCCCGCAGGCACGUCUUGGCCCGGCGGUCCGGGUUGGCAGCUUGAGGCGCGCGGGUAAUCGCGCGUCCAGAUGAAUGGUCAUCCAAGGGGGCAACCCCUGGACAGAAUCCGGCUUACAGGCCCUC